rnacentral:rRNA from 1 species
GACGAACGCUGGCGGCGUGCCUACUACAUGCAAGUCGAACGCAGUGGGGACGGGUGAGUAACACGUGGGUAACCUCCCAUCAGAGGGGAUACCACUUGGAAACAGGUCCUUAACCGAUACUGAUGGAUGGAACCGCGGUGCAUUAGCUAGUUGGUGAGGUAACGGCGCACCAAGGCCACGAUGCAUAGCCGACCUGAGAGGGUUAUCGGCCACACUGGGACUGAGACACGGCCCAGACUCCUACGGGAGGCAGCAGUAGGGAAUCUUCGGCAAUUGACGAAAGUCUGACCGAGCAACGCCGCGUGAGUGAAGAAGGUUUUCGGAUCGUAAAACUCUGUUGUUAGAGAAGCGGUAUCUAACCAGAAAGCCACGGCUAACUACGUGCCAGCAGCCGCGGUAAUUC